GGCCGCUCUCUUGAAUUCGGGACAAUCUUGUGGGAUGUGCCCCGGCUUCUAACAUGCUGCGCAUUUCCUUUCUUGCUUCGCUUGCGUGGUG
rnacentral:pre_miRNA from 1 species